rnacentral:rRNA from 1 species
GUAGGUGGCAAGCGUUGUCCGGAAUUAUUGGGCGUAAAGCGCGCGCAGGUGGGUUCUUUAAGUCUGAUGUGAAAGCCCCCGGGCGUCAACCGGGGAGGGUCAUUGGAAACUGGGGAACUUGAGUGCAGGAGAGGAAAGUGGAAUUCCACGUGUAGCGGUGAAAUGCGUAGAUAUGUGGAGGAACACCAGUGGCGAAGGCGACUUUCUGGCCUGUAACUGACACUGAGGCGCGAAAGCGUGGGGAGCAAACAGGAUUAGAUACCCUGGUAGUCCACGCCGUAAACGAUGAGUGCUAAGUGUUCGGGGGGUUUCCGCCCCUCAGUGCUGCAGCUAACGCAUUAAGCACUCCGCCUGGGGAGUACGGUCGCAAAGACUG